rnacentral:lncRNA from 1 species
UUCCUACAUUCCAAAGGUUAGGAAUAUUGUAAUGAGUAUAUGCAAAAGAGAAGAGCUUUAUUCAGGAAUGAACCCGCUGGAGGCAGCUGUACGUGGUGCAGCUCUGGAAGGAGCAGUAGCUUCGGGAAUUAGCGAUCCCUUUGGGAGUUUGGACCUUUUAACCAUUCAAGCAACUCCUUUAAGCAUUGGCAUUCAAGCUGAUGGAAGCAACUUUGUACCAAUUAUUUAUCAGAACACCACAACCCCUGUAAGGAAAGAACAGAAUUUCACAUUUGGAAGUUUGGACCUUUUAACCAUUCAAGCAACUCCUUUAAGCAUUGGCAUUCAAGCUGACGGAAGCAACUUUGUAGCUAUUAUUCAUCAGAACACCACAACCCCGGUAAGGAAAGAACAGAAUUUCACUACUGUCCACGACAACCAAGCUGAAGCAUUGAUCUUUGUUUAUGAAGGUGAUGAGAAAACCGUGGAAGAUAACCAUCUCUUAGGGUAUUUUAAGAUCACUGGAAUACCUCCACUACCUAAAGGUGUACCGGAGAUUAACGUGUGCAUGGACAUUGAUGCUUCUAAUGUGCUGAGAGUCUUUGCUGGUGUAGUCAUUCCGGGGGCGAAAUGUCCUCCUCCUUUCAUGGAAGUUAGGAUGCCUACCGUUGAUGAUGGACAUGCCUGGUCUGCUCAAACUCUCCAUAAGACAUAUGGAUCUACUUUAGAUUUGGUCACAGUGAAGAAGAAAGGGCAGCAUUGAGAUUGCUGAAUAGAUGAUAUGGAUAGAUACUAGAUGAAAUGCUCUUCUUAGUAGUGGAAAAGGAAUUAAGUGUGCUCUGUUUAUUGUAAAAUAUGUGAAUGAGUUGGAGAAUAAUCUUGGUUGUGCCUUGAGAAUAAUAAUAAUAAUAAUAAUAGUUCCCUAAUAAUUACUCCUCUGUACAUAAAAGGAAUUCAAGUUAUGCUGUAUUUUCAAGAUUGGAUUUCAUAUUC